CGGGGUGCAGCAGGCGCGAAAACUUUACAAUGCUGGCAACAGCGAUAAGGGGACCUCGAGUGCCAGGAUACAAUCUUGGCUGUCGCGAUGCCUAAAAAGCAUUGCAUAGCAAGGGCCGGGCAAGACCGGUGCCAGCCGCCGCGGUAACACCGGCGGCUCGAGUGGUAACCGCUAUUAUUGGGUCUAAAGGGUCUGUAGCCGGCCGGAUAAGUCUUUUGGGAAAUCCAGCUGCUCAACAGUUGGGCUUUCAGAAGAUACUGUUCGGCUCGAGACCGGGAGAGGUGAGAGGUACUUCAGGGGUAGGGGUGAAAUCUUGUAAUCCUUGAAGGACCACCAGUGGCGAAGGCGUCUCACCAGAACGGAUCUGACGGCAAGGGACGAAAGCUAGGGGCACGAACCGGAUUAGAUACCCGGGUAGUCCUAGCCGUAAACGAUACUCGCUAGGUGUCAGCCACGGUGCGACCGUGGUUGGUGCCGUAGGGAAGCCGUGAAGCGAGCCACCUGGGAAGUACGGCCGCAAGGCUGAAACUUAAAGGAAUCGGCGGGCGAGCACAAGGGCGAAUCG
rnacentral:rRNA from 1 species